AUUGAACGCUGGCGGCAUGCCUAACACAUGCAAGUCGAGCGAGCGGCGGACGGGUGAGUAAUGUGUGGGAACCUGCCUGAUGGAGGGGGAUAACUUCUGGAAAAGGUAACUAAUUACGCCUACCAUCAGAUUUGCACAGAUGCGAUUAGCUAGUAGGUGGGGUAACGGUUCACCUAGGCGACGAUCCCUAGCUGGUCUGCGAGGGUGACCGGCCAGACUGGAACUGGGACACGGUCCAGACUCCGACGGGAGGAAGCAGUGGGGAAUAUUGCACAAGGAGCGCAAGCCUGAUGCAGCCAUGCCGCGUGGAGGAAGAAGGCCUUGGAGUUGUAAAGUACUUUCAGCGGGGAGGCGUUACCCGCAGAAGAAGCACCGGCUAACUCCGUGCCAGCAGCCGCGGUAAUUC
rnacentral:rRNA from 1 species